rnacentral:rRNA from 1 species
GACGAACGCUGGCGGCGUGCCUAAUACAUGCAAGUCGAACGCAGUGGGGACGGGGGAGUAACACGUGGGUAACCUCCCAUCAGAGGGGAUAACACUUGGAAACAGGUGCUAAACCGAUACUGAUGGAUGGACCCGCGGGGCAUUAGCUAGUGGGUGAGGUAACGGCUCACCAAGGCCACAAUGCAUAGCGGACCUGAGACGGUGAUCGGCCACACGUGGACGGAGACACGGCCCAGACUCCUACUGGCGGCAGCAGUAGGGAAUCUUCCGCAAUGGACGAAAGUCUGACCAAGCAACGCCGCGUGAGUGAAGAAGGUUUUCGGAUCGUAAACCUCUGUUGUUAGAGAAGCGGUAUCUAACCAGAAAGCCACGGCUAACUACGUGCCAGCAGCCGCGGUAAUUC